UAGUCCCCUCCCCUACAUUUUAAAUAAUUAAUUCAGUUAUGCCUCAGAUAGUUGCAAAGAAGAGUCAGUUAUAGAUAAGUGAAAGAAAAUUGUUGAAAAAAGAGAAUUCUCCUGCAUAAAAAUCCACAUGAUCACCAAUAUCAGACGAUUGACGAUUCCCAAACAAAGACACAAUUGACCACUGAGGAAGACGCACAGAAGCGUCGAAAGCUUUGGCCCUAAAAUUGAAAGGAUGUGUUUGGGUUGACCUACCGUCCCUUGGCUGACGCAAUCGGAAGGAAUUUUCCUAAAACACCAAAAAACUUAAAACAUCCCGUCAGUUUCCACUGGAGUUUGAGCAAUUUAUUACCCAAAAAUGAAUGAAUAAAUUAAACGAAAAUUGCCUUAGUUUGAGGUCACAGAUUGACUAAAUAUUGAGCUAAAAAUGAACAUUAAAAUCAUUUAUUCUAAUCGAUAAAGUUUAUAAAGAUAUUGGCGCAAUUUAUUACACAAAGUUGUUAAAAAUUCAUACUCAAAACUCCAAGAAAUUCAUUAAGAAUUUGCAAAUUGUGAUUUAUAGAACAUUUAAAAAUGACUAAAAUGCACAUAAAAGAGAGAAAAAAAAAUUAAAGAAAAAGGCAUAAAAUACGUAAAUAAAGACAAAAUAGAUAAACAAAAACGGUUAGAAGAAAAAUUAAAUUACUUGCGAUUU